UGUAGAUUGAAAAUUGACACCGAAAGAUGUUUGCAUACGAUCUGUUACUUUGGUUUCUUUCAUUUAUGAAACUAUUUUUUGCAUGUUUACUUGCUAUUAUUAUAAUUUUGUUAAUUUUUUAUUUUUUUACCAUAUGGACUAUUAUACAAUACAAGAAAAAAGAAAAGAAAGAACGCCAGAGAAGAACAGCCGAGACAGCAGUCCAGACUGAAGAUCAGCCAAAAAUGAUAAAAGAAACCCGUUGCAAGAUUGAUUACCACAAGAAGAUCACCGCUAAAUUGUCCAAUUGAUGAAUCAAUCUGUUUUUAUUUGUUCAAAUCGGCAGGGCUAUAAGAGAAAACUGAUGUUUUUGUAUAAAAGUUUGUUGAACUGUUUUUUCAUGAAAUUUUUCUUUGAAUAAAUGAACUUGAAAAGCUUAA